UUUCUUUUUCUUUGUUUAUGAACACAGAUUAAGUUUCUGGUCACACCUCUGUAAAGGCAAGUGUGUUUUAAUGUCCUUAACGACAACCGACGCUCGUGCACUACAUAAAAAUGUUGGCGAGAGGGCUUGCCCUCAUUGAGUGAUUAGCUUCAUUCCUAGCUAUGCUGCUAGACUGACCUCUGAACCUGUUUACCCAAUACAUAUACCUGAUUGAUGGUAAAAGAUUGGGCUCUUUAAAGAACCCCAGGUGGUCCAAAAUUCCGGAGUACCCCACUAUGGCAUGCCUUAUAAUCAGAUCGUGGUUUUGGUGCGUAAAACCCUAUAAUUUUUUAAAAGAUUGGGUUUAUUUUCAUGCUGUUAUGAACAUGCUCAAGUAUUUUUUUACCGUAGCAGUAGUACUUGUAUCAUGAUCUGGGCUGUCAGGUGGACACUGUGGUCUUGUUUUGGUGCAUAUGUGAGCACUGCAAUUACAGUCGACCUGCAGCAUGUUAGCUAAGUCAUUUGUAGCCAUUAUGGACUGGCUAUGAGCACCGUGAGGCCAGCAUCCUUGCUGCUUUUCCACUGUUAAGAGAGUGGGCAAAACAACCGUAAGAGAAAUGCCCAGGUAGAUGUAUUGUAGAUUUUGAGAGCAGAUUUUAACCCUGCUUAUAUUCAGAACCUUUAAAUAUGCAUUUAAAGCAUAUGCGAAUGCCGAUUCACCAAGAAGGCUCAAGGGGGGAGGUGAACAAAAUCUAAAAAAUUUCACCGAUGAUUACGAUACUAAUGCGAAAUUUGAGCGCAGCUGUAUGCGUGGUUUUAUUUCGCAAUAUAUUGGCUGGCGAAGACAAUCUGUCUCAUGCGGCACAGUUGCAAGCGUAGUGAAGUGUGGUGCGACUGCCUCGCUAAUCUGGAGAUAACAAGAGCCAGCACGUGGGUGACACGUGGACGCAAUUCACAGCAGCAGCCACUGCCAACAAAUCUAGCAGACUAUGCGUGCUACUCUGGCGCCACCUCGUAGCCAUGGUCACUGCACCCUCCUCUCCGCUUUCCUCCUCGUGUCUUUCAUCCCCCGCUUGGAUCUGCGUUUGCUUUCAUCUUUCAGUGUGCUCGUUCGCUUGGUUACGCCGACGACGACUCUCACUGCAGGAAUGGGCGCCUAAGAGCUGCACUAUAACUUAUAUAAUAAUAAACCAGGUGCUCUGAACCAUUAUUGCCCUUCGAUCUGCUAAGCAGCACUGCUGCUGCCGUCCAUUACGACAAUAGUGGUGUAGAAAAACUUAGAAAUCGACCUAUCAAAAUGGGUUAAAGUUCCCAAGUAUUGAUGCAUAAGCGUGAUGACAAAAAUUAGACCCCUACACAGGCCAUGUUGCUAUCUCUUUAACACGAAAGUGUUCUCUGCUGAAUUCCAACGAAAAUCUGUCCUUUGUACGUAUGUCAUGCAAUCAUCAUCAUGCAAAUUUCGUGGCAUUCGAGAAAAGCUUAUGUAUAUAGGGGCGAUAAUAGACAACUUGCAAAACAGUGCGUGCCCUCUUCCAAGCAGAGGCCGAACUACAAAAUCUGGUUGGAAAACGAGGCAUAUGGCAUAUCCCUGCAAUCACUAUCGGUGAUAUUUGACUGCUUCUUAGCCGGCUGAAUUGGACUGAGUCACUUGCGUUUAUUGAGAUAGGGAUAACGGCCUAGAACAUGCGGUGGUGGUGUUGCAGCUGGCAUACAUAGCUGACAAUUGUUCCGCCUUAAGGCUGUUUCACAUGCUGCGACUGGAGCGAAAAAAAUCGGUGCGGUCGCACGAUUUAUGAGGGCUCAAUUCACAUGAUUGCGAUUUCAACAAUGCGACUGAUGCGACUCCCAGGGCUGCUUGCUACCAGAUUUUGUCGCACACGCUGCAUAAUUAUUUUAAUGUAAUGAAAAAGACGUGUGCAUUAUAAGAUAAUUGACAUCUCUUUAUUAGGACCAACUAAUGCUUGUUUUGUAAUUUAAAAACGUUUGAAGUUUAAGUUUAUUUUGGAGUGCGCAACGGCGGUUCGUAUGCAUGAUGUACGGAAACAGCUGUUCGCAGCUGGUUGUUCAGCGCUGUGUGUCGUCUCAUUUGAUUUGUAUGUGUCGGUCUGCCUGAAUAGGAUAAAAAGUCUGCAAUAUAUUCAAGGUUUAUUGGUUUCUGCUAGGAAAAAAUAUUCUCCAUCAGAGAAGAUACAACUUAACAUGCAUGGGGUAUUCGAAAACAAAUCGACUCUGCUUAUUCAAGCCACGGAGUUAAAUAUGUGGUCGUAGAAAAUUUAUUACGAUAGCCUGCGCGCUUGGCAUGUCAAAUUUAAUAAGCAAGUGAGGAAAGAUAACCUUUCAAGGUGCAUCGGAAAGUUUAUGCGUGUGGAAAACCGACAGGAAAAGAAUGCAUCUAAUGGUCGCGCGUUCAGCACAAGGUUGAAACUUCGGGUUCUUUGCUGCCGGCUCAUUUGCCCUUGCAGAGGUUGCAAUUAUUUAAACUGCUCCGUAACCGCAAUUUUUGUAUGCUACUCAACAAAUUAAAAUUGUGACGACCUCAAAAGGCUAUGUUGUCUCGUGGGGAUCGAACACCUCGUAGUAUAUUGGGAACUCGCAUAGGUGUGUCUACAGUAUACGAAGCAAAGGUGAAAAUGAACUGAACUUCGUUUGCUACGUAGCGCAUCAAUGAACACAUAAAAAUUGGAGAAUGGAAUCUGCGGCACAAGUUUUUUACUCUCUCUUCACGUGCGUCCCGGAUUCAGCAAUCCACCUCCCCGCACAUUGCAUUGUUGAGUGAGACGCCAUUUUCCAAAACAGACCGCGAAAUAGCUCUCGGCGCAAUUUCGACAGAAAAUCGCAGCAGUCGCUGUGACGCUGCGACCAACCAGUUGAUCUCAGCCGAAAAUCGCAGAGUCAGCACUGCGUCUGUGAUUUUCGACAGAAGUUGCGCUUCCGGUGCGAUGAAAAUGCAUCAUGUGAAAUGGCCUUGAACAUGCGCUCAUCACCCCUGGUCAGUCGUUUAUGCUGUCUCAAUGUAGAAACAAAGCGUUGGCGCCAAUCUAUGGCGACUCAUUCCAUUUCUUAGACAAUGGCGAAACGUCCCCAGAAUGGCACUUUUGCUUGAAAAAUACCUUCGUCGUGCAUGCGCACAAUAUUUUUGCAAAUGGCCCAUUAGGUGUAAGCAAGACUUUCCUAGCCUGUUUUCAAUUCCUUGAAAUGUAGUUCGGCACCGUUUUAGAAAUGUUCUCUUAUGACUUUUAAAUUUAUAGGUACACAUAUCUGCAAACUUUUACGAUAUCGCAAAAUACCCGGUUUAUAGAAGUUGCCUACAAUUGUAAUAUUGAUGCCAAUAAUUUUACUAAGUUUCAUUCGAGUCCUAGUAAGGGCAAAACUGAUCUUGAAGAGGUCCUGAAACAUUUUUUUACCAUAAUAAGAAAACAUUGCUGAUAUAUAGACGAAGCUGUUAUGAAAAUGUGAGCCAAAUAUUAUUGCACUGCAUGCAGAAGUGAAUUUACAGUGUCGUGUCUAAAACAGUGAGAAAUUGCUUGCUCUCUCCUUCGCAAUUUCAUCAUGAAGCUAUGUCGCAAGCAGCCAAGCCCACUGACAGUUAUUGGCAGAUUUUGCGAUCACGGGAACAUUCUCAGUAACAAUGUAAUUGCUAAUUUUUAGUUAAAUAAAUGAAAAAUACACAUGUCUGCAUUCUCAAAAAGACUAUAAAAGAUAGAACAGCAUUCCAUCCGUGCACUUCCGGUCUACACACGCCAAUGGAAUUUGUUGCAUUGAUAAUAUAGGCAGACCAAACUAAGUGAAAAGAAUGUUCUGUUAUAUCCGAAAGUAUGUUGCAUUUGGAUUCGUUUUCAUGGGUGUUGGCAUGGGCUGUAUUUCAGAGCAAUUUUCAAAGCCUGACUUUUCAGACCCACUCAGUUACUUGGGCCUACUGGCCGUAGUAGCAUCACAAGUAAAAUGGCAGGUGAAAUUUAUGCUGAAUAUUUUAAAUAUAUAUAUGUUUCUCACACAAAUUAUUCUUGCUGCAAAUAUAGAGCAGCCUGCCUUUUCACAGUGUCUUCUACAAAGUCAUCACAUUGUUGGUUUUUAAUAAACAGUGUACAUCCUGCAUAGAAUACAAUUUUUAGUAUUUUCACUGAAUUUCAGUAUUCUUUGGCUUCGACGGUCUGGAUGUAGCAGAUUAGAUGGUUAGAUUUAAGAAAACCGUUAAUAAAGAAAGCUGAAACAAAUCGUUGCUGAAACAAAUAUCUUGCAUCGGAAUAUUGUCUCCAACCUCGAGGAAAUAUUUACUUUUUAUCGAAAUGUGCAAAUUGCACCAAGAAUAAGAAUUUUCAACGAAAGAGAAGAUAUUUU